AGUGAACGCUGGCGGUAGACCUAACACAUGCAAGUCGAACGGCAGCACAGUAAGAGCUUGCUCUUACGGGUGGCGAGUGGCGGACGGGUGAGGAAUACAUCGGAAUCUACUUUUUCGUGGGGGAUAACGUAGGGAAACUUCCGCUAAUACCGCAUACGACCUCCGGGUGAAAGCAGGGGAUCUUCGGACCUUGCGCGAUUGAAUGAGCCGAUGUCGGAUUAGCUAGUUGGCGGGGUAAAGGCCCCCCAAGGCGACGAUCCGUAGCUGGUCUGAGAGGAUGAUCAGCCACACUGGAACUGAGACACGGUCCAGACUCCUACGGGAGGCAGCAGUGGGGAAUAUUGGACAAUGGGCGCAAGCCUGAUCCAGCCAUACCGCGUGGGUGAAGAAGGCCUUCGGGUUGUAAAGCCCUUUUGUUGGGAAAGAAAAGCAGCAGGUUAAUACCCCGCUGUUCUGACGGUACCCAAAGAAUAAGCACCGGCUAACUUCGUG
rnacentral:rRNA from 1 species